CCCCUAAUCCUGUCAAACUUCCAAAAGAAUUUCAGGACAGGCUGACGGAAGAUCACGUUCCCUGUGCUGGCAGCGGCGGCUGCAUGCGGCGGCGGCUGCUUUUAACCUUUUGUGGGUGGGUGGAGGAGAAACGCCUGCGUUAGCGAGGAGGACAGUGAGGAGCUGGCCUUUGAGAGGAUGGGAAUCGAUGGAAGGAGGCAGGUUUCAGUUCAACGAAGCAAACAGAGCUGGAAGCGAGAGGACUAGCAGGUUAUCCAGGGCACAUCCUUCUCACAGUACCAGUGGCAGCAUCAUGAGAACAAUCACACAUGUGCUUCUUAAGACUCUGUUUCUGAUGACUGCAGACAUCCUGAGAUAAGUGGAUAUCUAAGAAGAUCCCUAACAAUCGCCACCUCGUGGUAUUCAUACCUUUGUGUAAUCCCUUCCUCUUCAGUAUGGCCAUGGUCAGAUGCCUUGCUUCAAACUAAUAUAAUAUGGCAAAGGUGAUGGGUUGUUGCUUUCAUGAUUUGGCUACCUAAGAUGGUGACUUCUGCCUUGCUAGCAGACUCUUUGUAUUGUCUUUUCCACUUGCAUACUUUGAUAAAGUGGCCCACAUGGCAGGGAACUGAAGGCAGCGUCCGGCCAACAGCCCAUGAGGAAAUUAAUCCUGCUGACAACCACAUGAGCUUGGAAGUGGAUCCAUCCCCAGUUGAGCCUUGAGAUGCCUGUAGCUCAGCUGACACCUUUACUGCAGCCCAUGAGAGAUCCUGAUGCAAAAAACCCAUUAAGCCAUGCUGAGACUCCUGACCCACAAAAACUAAUUCUGGAACACUGAUUCCGGUUGCAGUAGAAAGAGCAGGGCACUAGGAGUCAGUGCUACGUUCUACUCCAGCCUGUCACAACUCUCUGUGUGAUUCUGGCCAAGCCUUCCCUUCUCUAAGCCUGGUUUUCCCAUCUGUAAAAAGGAUCUUGGACGUCUUGGCUAGGGCUGGAGCAUUCUAUAGCCAGCAAGGUUGGGGACCUGAAGAUGAGUUGCUGCCCUACUUGUCAGCACCACGGUCACCUCCUGCUGCCCUCGGCCUCCUGGUGCCAGUCACUCAAGCCAGUAGGAGACAGCAGUGGGAGAAUGGGAUGAAUGCAGCAAAGUCACCUGCCAGAUCAAGGCUCCCCAAAAGGAGAGAAAAGACCCCCUCAGGGCUUACGAGAGAAGAAGUCCCUUAAAGGCACACUUUGAUGGCUUAAGAGAUAUGAUCCUAUCAAGAAACACUUGCAGUGAAUUACAGAGAACUUGCAGACUCCUAAAAGCAUGUGAAGACACAAAAUAACU